rnacentral:rRNA from 1 species
UACGUAGGGCGCAAGCGUUGUCCGGAAUUAUUGGGCGUAAAGAGCUCGUAGGCGGCUUGUCACGUCGGGUGUGAAAGCCCGGGGCUUAACCCCGGGUCUGCAUUCGAUACGGGCAGGCUAGAGUUCGGUAGGGGAGACUGGAAUUCCUGGUGUAGCGGUGAAAUGCGCAGAUAUCAGGAGGAACACCGGUGGCGAAGGCAGGUCUCUGGGCAUUAACUGACGCUGAGGAGCGAAAGCAUGGGGAGCGAACAGG